rnacentral:rRNA from 1 species
GACGAACGCUGGCGGCGUGCCUAAUACAUGCAAGUCGAACGAGAGCGACCGGUGCUUGCACUGGUCAAUCUAGUGGCGAACGGGUGAGUAGCACGUGGGUAACCUGCCCAUCAGAGGGGGAUAACAUCCGGAAGCGGAUGCUAAAACCGCAUAGGUCUUCGAGCCGCAUGGCUUGAAGAGGAAAAGAGGCGCAAGCUUCUGCUGAUGGAUGGACCCGCGGUGCAUUAGCUAGUUGGUGAGGUAACGGCUCACCAAGGCCGUGAUGCAUAGCCGACCUGAGAGGGUGAUCGGCCACAUUGGGACUGAGACACGGCCCAAACUCCUACGGGAGGCAGCAGUAGGGAAUCUUCCGCAAUGGACGCAAGUCUGACGGAGCAACGCCGCGUGAGUGAAGAAGGUUUUCGGAUCGUAAAACUCUGUUGUUAGAGAAGAACAAGUGCUAGAGUAACUGUUAGCGCCUUGACGGUAUCUAACCAGAAAGCCACGGCUAACUACGUG